CGGCGAGCGAACGGGGAGCAGCCCAGAGCCUGAAUCAGUGUGUGUGUUAGUGGAAGCGUCUGGAAAGGCGCGCGAUACAGGGUGACAGCCCCGUACACAAAAAUGCACAUAUUGUGAGCUCGAUGAGUAGGGCGGGACACGUGGUAUCCUGUCUGAAUAUGGGGGGACCAUCCUCCAAGGCUAAAUACUCCUGACUGACCGAUAGUGAACCAGUACCGUGAGG
rnacentral:rRNA from 1 species